GAUGAACGCUGGCGGCGUGCCUAAUACAUGCCAGUCGAGCGAACAGACGAGGAGCUUGCUCCUCUGACGUUAGCGGCGGACGGGUGAGUAACACGUGGAUAACCUACCUAUAAGACUGGGAUAACUUCGGGAAACCGGAGCUAAUACCGGAUAAUAUAUUGAACCGCAUGGUUCAAUAGUGAAAGACGGUUUUGCUGUCACUUAUAGAUGGAUCCGCGCCGCAUUAGCUAGUUGGUAAGGUAACGGCUUACCAAGGCAACGAUGCGUAGCCGACCUGAGAGGGUGAUCGGCCACACUGGAACUGAGACACGGUCCAGACUCCUACGGGAGGCAGCAGUAGGGAAUCUUCCGCAAUGGGCGAAAGCCUGACGGAGCAACGCCGCGUGAGUGAUGAAGGUCUUCGGAUCGUAAAACUCUGUUAUUAGGGAAGUACAAAUGUGUAAGUAACUAUGCACGUCUUGACGGUACCUAAUCAGAAAGCCACGGCUAACUACGUG
rnacentral:rRNA from 1 species